ensembl:miRNA
AGUGCUUCUUUGGCAGUGUCUUAGCUGGUUGUUGUGAGUAAUAGCGAAGGAAGCAAUCAGCAAGUAUACUGCCCUAGAAGUGCUG